rnacentral:lncRNA from 1 species
AAAAAGGCGUAUUUAUACAGAAAACAAUGACACUUGGUCAGUAUUCACCAUUAAUUCCAUCAAGACCAAUGAGAGCGGAUGGUACUUCUGCAAGGUUACGAGAGAUAUUCCUGUUCUUGACCAAAAAUGCAGUAAUGGAAUACAGGUUCUGGUUGAUGCCAGCAGCACCCAGGAAUAUCCGAAACAGCCACUGCUGCAGAAUCCAACACAAAAUCUAACUACGCAAGAUUCACCCACAACUUGCUUGAUCAGUGCCACAACAAUCCCCUCAACAUUCUCCACACCACCGCCCAGCUUUACUCAGUGGUGGAUAUGGCUAGCGUCGGCAGUUGGAUGCGCAGUACUUCUUGUGUCAAUUGUUGUCAUAUGCAUCUUGACUCGCAAACCUGAAGAGAUCAUUUAUGAGAACAGCAAACCAGUGGAAUCGAGCUGCUGGAGGCGAAACCGGACUAAGAUGGACAUCUGCGACCUGCCUUCGUCCAAAAAAACUGACACCAUUAAACCGCUAAGGAAGUACGACACUCUUUCAAGCAACAGAAUCCGAAGGCCAUAAGUCUUCCAUAUGAAAGAAUUAUCCUCUGAAAACACAUUAAAUAUAUGAAAUACCUUACUGUACACACAUAUUUAAUUUUGUAAUGUAGCAUUUCCCGAUAGAUGGGAAGCUGUAAA